rnacentral:rRNA from 1 species
UACGCCGAGCACCGAGACGAGUCCUAUGAGGACGAAGUGACUGACACCACCCUUCCAGGAAAAGCCACUAAGCUUCAGCUUAAGAAAAACCGUACCGCAAACCGACACAGGUAGGCAGGGUGAGAAUCCCAAGGCGCUUGAGAGAACUCGGGUGAAGGAACUAGGCAAAAUGGCACCGUAACUUCGGGAGAAGGUGCGCCCUUUGGUGUGGUCACGUGCGUGACUGAGCAUUGAAGGGUCGCAGUAACCUGGCCGCUGCGACUGUUUAUCAAAAACACAGCACUCUGCAAACACGAAAGUGGACGUAUAGGGUGUGACGCCUGCCCGGUGCUGGAAGGUUAAUUGAUGGGGUCAGCCGCAAGGCGAAGCUCUUGAUCGAAGCCCCAGUAAACGGCGGCCGUAACAAUAACGGUCCUAAGGUAGCGAAAUUCCUUGUCGGGUAAGUUCCGACCUGCACGAAUGGCGUAACGACAGCGGCGCUGUCUCCACCCGAGACUCAGUGAAAUUGAAAUCGCUGUGAAGAUGCAGCGUUCCCGCGGCAAGACGGAAAGACCCCGUGAACCUUUACUAUAGCUUUACACUGAACGUUGAGUUCUUCUGUGUAGGAUAGGUGGGAGGCUAUGAAACCAGGACGCUAGUUCUGGUGGAGCCAUCCUUGAAAUACCACCCUGAAGUGCUUGACGUUCUAACCUAGGCCCGUAAUCCGGGUCAGGGACCGUGUAUGGUGGGUAGUUUGACUGGGGCGGUCUCCUCCCAAAGAGUAACGGAGGAGCACGAAGGUACGCUCAGCGCGGUCGGACAUCGCGCACUGUGUGCAAAGGCAUAAGCGUGCUUGACUGCGAGAUCGACGGAUCAAGCAGGUACGAAAGUAGGUCUUAGUGAUCCGGUGGUUCUGUAUGGAAGGGCCAUCGCUCAACGGAUAAAAGGUACUCCGGGGAUAACAGGCUGAUACCGCCCAAGAGUUCAUAUCGACGGCGGUGUUUGGCACCUCGAUGUCGGCUCAUCACAUCCUGGGGCUGUAGCCGGUCCCAAGGGUAUGGCUGUUCGCCAUUUAAAGUGGUACGCGAGCUGGGUUCAGAACGUCGUGAGACAGUUCGGUCCCUAUCUGUCGUGGGCGUUGGAGAUUUGAGGGGGGCUGCUCCUAGUACGAGAGGACCGGAGUGGACGUUCCGCUGGUGUUCGGGUUGUCAUGCCCAUGGCAUUGCCCGGUAGCUACGAACGGAAGUGAUAACCGCUGAAAGCAUCUAAGCGGGAAGCACGCCCCAAGAUGAGAUCUCCCGAGAGCUUGACUCUCCUAAAGGCACCAUCAAGACUAGGUGGUUGAUAGGUCAGGUGUGGAAGCGCAGCAAUGCGUUGAGCUAACUGAUACUAAUGAGCCGUGAGGCUUGAUC